CAACUACUCCCUCUGUCCCAAAUUUCUUGUCUUAGAUUUGUCUAGAUACGGUUGUAUCUAAUACUAAAAUGUGACUUGAUACAUCCGUAUCUAGACAAAUCUAAGACAAGAAUUUUGGGACGGAGGGAGUACUUU
rnacentral:pre_miRNA from 1 species